rnacentral:ncRNA from 1 species
GAGAGCCGGAUGCUUGGAAACUUGCACGUCCGGUUCGGAAGGAGGGAUGGAGAAACCGACCGCUGAAAUGCGGCACGGCGCUUCAUCCCCACCUUAC